GGUUCCGUGGUGUAGUGGUUAUCACGUCUGCUUAACACGCAGAAGGUCGCGAGUUCGAAACUCGCCGGAACCU
rnacentral:tRNA from 1 species